rnacentral:rRNA from 1 species
GCAGCAUGGUCUUAGCUUGCUAAGACUGAUGGCGACCGGCGCACGGGUGCGUAACACGUAUGCAACUUGCCUCACAGAGGGGGAUAACCCGUCGAAAGACGGACUAAUACCGCGUACACUUGGGAUGGGGCAUCCUGACCCAAGGAAAUGAAUUUCGCUGUGAGAUAGGCAUGCGUCCCAUUAGCUAGUUGGUGAGGUAACGGCUCACCAAGGCGACGAUGGGUAGGGGAACUGAGAGGUUGAACCCCCACACUGGUACUGAGACACGGACCAGACUCCUACGGGAGGCAGCAAUGAGGAAUAUUGGUCAAUGGGCGAGAGCCUGAACCAGCCAAGUCGCGUGAAGGAUGACUGUCUUAUGGAUUGUAAACUUCUUUUAUACGGGAAUAACAAGAGCCACGUGUGGCUCCCUGCAUGUACCGUAUGAAUAAGCAUCGGCUAACUCCGUGCCAGCAGCCGCGGUAAUACGGAGGAUGCGGGCGUUAUCCGGAUUUAUUGGGUUUAAAGGGUGCGUAGGCGGCCUGUUAAGUCAGCGGUGAAAUCUAGGAGCUUAACUCCUAAAUUGCCAUUGAUACUGGCGGGCUUGAGUGUAGAUGAGGUAGGCGGAAUGCGUGGUGUAGCGGUGGAAUGUAUAGAUAUCACGCAGAACUCCGAUUGCGAAGGCAGCUUACUAAGGUACAACUGACGCUGAAGCACGAAAGCGUGGGUAUCAAACAGGAUUAGAUACCUGGUAGUCCACGCAGUAAACGGUGAUAACUGGGCGUAUGCGAUAUACAGUAUGCUCCU